CAAUUGAUGAUUGGCCAAACCCUUGGGAGA
rnacentral:piRNA from 1 species